UUCACUGUGAAUUUGUUUUUUUCAUAAGACAGACUAGUGUUAAAAUGAUUAUAUAGUUAAUAACAUUUAACAUAUGGCAAUUUUUUCCAUGUGUAUAGUUAGUGUUUUAAAAAUAUUUUCAGUUCAGCAUAAAUUGAAGUAUAUUGUUUUGUCUUCAGCUUGCAUAUAAGCAUUUCAGUUUAUCUUCUCUUAGUUUAAAAUGAUGUCUGUGAAGCUUUUUCUAUGCUUUGCAGGACAUUUUGUGUACACCAGAAUAUAAACAUGUGUGGCUUAGAAAAUCGUGUAAAUGAACACUACCAGAGAAAUAUUUUUUUAGACUGAACAAAAAGUUGCAGAAUAAAGAAUCAAUACAAUGCUGCUGCAUUUGUUGUUUUUAGAAGAUUGUAAAAAAGGGAACAAAUGUAUGCAAUAAUACCUCUAAAUCAUUGAAUUAAGAUUUUAAUCAAUCAAGCUUAUGUUGUUUCUGUGCUUAUCAGUAUAACUUAACCAAUGUUUGUCAGUUUUUUAUUAUUAUUUCUAAUUUCUAGUUCUUUUUUUAUUUUUAGGCAGUGAUAUACUGUAGUGUUGUGGGAAAGUUGUGUAGGUUUCUUACUUAAACGUUUGUUAAAUGUUUACUAUUGAAAAUAGUAAUAGUAAAAGUAGGACUGAAAGCAUCCAUUCCCUUUGGGUUGUCUAAUGCAGGGCCAUGAAAAAAGGAAGGAUUUAGAAUAUCCAGUCAAACCUAAUGAGCAGGUCUUUGGGAAGUAUGAGGAAAAUCACAAAUCACUCUACAAUACAAAAUAACAUACAGAGACAUACCUGAGACUGGAAUGAAACGCAAGACCCUGAAGCUGCCCGCAAGAGGCACAGAUUCAUUUGAAAGUUUAAUUCCACACCAGAAUCAAAAGUCUUCUUUUGCCUCAAGGGAAUACCUCUGUAAAAGUAAAUCUUAAUACUGAGCUUAAUUAUAGCCAGUCAAGGCAGCACAGUGGCACGGUGUUUAGCUUUGCUGAUAAUUUGGAUAGCUGAAUGUAUUAACAUAUUAUUGGGGAGUGGGGGGACAGGCAGUGAAAAGACAAAAAAGUUCAACUUCACAUAAAAAAUAGUUAUGUAUUUUUAACAUAACAUGAAAUAAUAACCAUGUCAACAUAAAAAGGAGCUGCAAGGAUUGCAAAAUGUAUAGUACUUCAUUGCGUGGUAUUCUCUGAACUUUGGAACUACAUGAAGAAGGAUUUUACAUUCAGCGCAUGUAAACUGGAUUUAUAUAAUAAAAAAAGUACAAACACACAUGGAAUGGAAUCUGGUUAGGAUUUAGUGUUUUCCUUCCAUCUAGAUGAUAAAUUAAGCAGCAGAUGAAUUUCAGAGAGUAGCUUAUUUGAAGUCCCUAUAUCCGUAUUCAUAACCUCACAUUUAUGAACAAAAAAUCACUGUAUUGCGAUGUCUCAUCUGUGUAGUAUGAGUGAUUGGACCUUUUGGUAUUCUGCUCAUCCUGAACUCCUUGUUAUCCUCCUGGUUGAAACUCCACAUCUAAUAUAGAGUUACAGAUUCUUCUGAUUUAACAGUCUGUGAAUGGAGGGUACAUAAUGUAAUAUAAUUUUAUACAGGAUACUUGCGCAGGUCUGGAAAGUCUGGAAAAGUAUGACAUUAAAAUGAUUUCCAGACCUUGAAAAGUUUGGAAAAUGAAACAUGUUUGGAAAACUUAUGGAAUCUUAAUAUAAAACAAAGUUCACUAAACAUAAAUAUAUUUGUAUUAAGAAUGCACACAAUCUACCUUCCUGUGUGUUUUCUAAAUUGGCUUCCUGAAAAAUUGGCUGGGUGUUUGAAAGAAGCACAGCCAAUCAAACUAAAAUCUACCCGUCUUAUGAUAACAUAAGGAAGUGAAGUUAAUUUGCUAUUUGUGAUUUCAUUCAGAUUGGGUUAAUGCGGUAUUUAAUAUUUAAAAUAUUAAUUAACCUUUUGAUGCGUACAGUCACACAUAUGUGAUCAUGGUUGACUGGUCUUUGCAACACAUCAUCUCUAAUACUGUAUGGCAUUAGAAUGUUAGCAACAAAAUGUUCUCAUGAUGAUGUAACAGUUCCGCCUAGCCCUGUUUUCUGUUUAGCAAGCUAAUAAAUGCAUUGCACUUAAGAAAAAUAAGUCUUCACAACUAACUCUUUUCUCAAAAUUUGAUGGUUCAUUGCAUUUAUAACUUGCAAUAAUGUUAAGAUUUACUAUAACAAUGACAGAUCUGUGACACAAAUUGCGCAAACAAUAGCUAUAUUUACAAAAUUCAGUCCUGCUGGUUGAGCUGAGUACUCAAAUUAGUCAGAUUUUGUGAAAGUGCUGAAAAAGUAGGAAUACCUAAUUAUUCCUAAUUAUUAAUUUAUUGGACAAAAUUAUUGAGCUAAUUUGCACAUUCUUGUUUCACAUAUGUGUCACUGAGAAAAUAAUCUAACCAAACAUAAGCAAAUUAAGAAACUUGUAAUAGAAAUAAUUUUGUGAAAAGUAUCUUGGUUUGAUGACACUGUAAAAUACAGGUUUACCUAGCUAUAGAAGACGUAGUCUAGCUAUAAUGGAAAAAGCCUUUUAUAUGAUGACUAGCUAUAUCUUAGAUUGUGAUAAAAGCCUUUAUGAUGAAGCAAAUUCUUGAAUUUUUGCACAGAAUUCUAAAAUUGUUUACAAAAACAAUGUCAUGCUUCUCGGGCUGUUAUUACGUGUGAAAAAUGUGUUCAGCAAUACAAAGUAAGAUUUGUUUGCUCUAAUUGUUUUCUCCAAUUCAUCAACUUGUUUGCAUUUAUAUAUUUUUAACACUGUACACCAUUCUUGCCUACAAUAUCAAAAGCAAAAGGGGCUUGUGUCCUUGCACCAUAACAGAAUAAAGUGGUAAAUUGAUGGGAAAAUUGUAGGGAAAAAACCUGAUAUUUCAUUCCGUUUGUUCUCAUUGCCUUCAGCCCAGUAAGGGGUAGUAAACCUUGCAGUUUCAUUGAAAA